rnacentral:rRNA from 1 species
CCUACGGGUGGCAGCAGUGGGGAAUAUUGCACAAUGGGCGCAAGCCUGAUGCAGCCAUGCCGCGUGUGUGAAGAAGGCCUUCGGGUUGUAAAGCACUUUCAGCGGGGAGGAAGGCGUUAAGGUUAAUAACCUUGGCGAUUGACGUUACCCGCAGAAGAAGCACCGGCUAACUCCGUGCCAGCAGCCGCGGUAAUACGGGGGGUGCAAGCGUUAAUCGGAAUUACUGGGCGUAAAGCGCACGCAGGCGGUCUGUCAAGUCGGACGUGAAAUCCCCGGGCUCAACCUGGGAACUGCAUUCGAAACUGGCAGGCUAGAGUCUUGUAGAGGGGGGUAGAAUUCCAGGUGUAGCGGUGAAAUGCGUAGAGAUCUGGAGGAAUACCGGUGGCGAAGGCGGCCCCCUGGACAAAGACUGACGCUCAGGUGCGAAAGCGUGGGGAGCAAACAGGAUUAGAUACCCUGGUAGUC